GCCCGGUUGCUAGAAUGGAAAUAGGACUGUCUGCAAAACAGUUGUAGCAAUACAGCGUUGGUUCGAUUCCAACACCGGGCU
rnacentral:tRNA from 1 species